CCCCCCCCUCCCCGCUGAGUUUCUGAUUACAGAGGUGGAGGAAGGCUUGGGAAUUUGCAUUUCCAGCAAGUUCUCAGGUGAUGCUGAUCCUGCUGGAUCGGGGACCACACUUUGAGAACUGCUGAUAUGAGGCCCAGGGCUAGGAGCUCUAAAGGAGAAAUAGGAGAAUUAAGAGGCAGAAACAAGUGGAUUCACAAGUUAAACAAGUUAACCUCCCUAUUAAAAGGGGAGUUAGAGGAGUUAGCCUCUCCAUCGAAAAUGCGCAGAGCCUAUCAGAUAAGGUCUUUGCUGUCACCGAGCUGACAAGCUCAAAGUCCUGUGGGAGGCAGACUGCAAACAGUAGUUUAGGAUGUUAGCCGUUAACACAGGGAACUGUGAGCACAGAAGAGGAACACAGUGUUCAGGCUUGGUGGCGAAGAGGCCAGGAAGGCUUCCGGCAGAGUUGACUCCUAAAGAAGGGAAGGUAUCCAGACAAAGGGGCAGGGCCAGGCUUGGCCUCUUCCAGCAGAGGGACCUGUGUGGAAUUAAAGAGGGGCUGUGGAGAUGUCCUGGAAGAGCAAGUCAUCCAACUUUCCCAAAGGGAAGAGUGGCAAGUGAGGUGGCGAUGACAGAGCUGCAGGGGUAGGCAGGGGCUUGAUCAAGAAGGAACGCCAGAGCAGGUUUAAGGAGUUUGAGGAUAUUCUGAAGACUAUUAUUGACAUAGAGUAGAAAGAAUGAUUUACUAAGGCUCCAUAUAAUGGCACAUCAGAGAUGAAAAGAGAACAGAGAACACAGCUAUCUCCAAUCCUUGUACUUCCUUCUCUGUAACUGGGACUUCUCUACCCGAUUUCCUCUGGUUUCCAGCUGAUGUCAGGGCCUUCCAGACCUUCUAGCCUAGGUGUAGACAAAAUUCUCUUUCCUUUUAAUUUAGUUGAGAGAUUUUGGAAUUUCAUAAAGGGAAAUUUGUAAAGACACUGGGCAAAUACAAAACCAAAGGGAACAAAGAGAAUAAGUUGGGUCUAGAAGUAAACAGACUAGGCUUCUAGCUCCAUCUUUUGCUAUCUAUACAGACUUGAGUAUGUUAUUUAACUUCUUGUACCAUAGUUUCUAUAUUUAAAUAGAGACCUAAUUCCUGACAAGAUCCACAAGAUCUUACAUGUUGUCAUCCCUACCUGCCUUUCAACCUCAUCUUAUAUCCACUGAUCCUCACUCUUCCUGCUCCAAUUAUGUAAACCUUUCAAUCUUGUGUCUAUCAUGCUCCUUUCUACUACAGGGCCUUUGUAUGUGCUGAUUCCUCCAUCUGGAAGUCCUCUUCUUCAGUAAUUACUACAUUUAGAUCUAAGGCCCACUCCCUCUAGGAAAUCUCUGAUCUCUGAAUGGGUAAAAUCCCUCCUUUUAUAGGCUUUUUUAGUAUCAGGAACUUUUAGUUGAAAGCACUUCAUAGUUGUUAUUUGUGUAAUUAUUUGCUUAAUGUUUGUCUCUUCUACUGGAUCAGGGGUCAGCAAACUAUAGCCAACUUUGGCCUGCAGUCUGUUUUUGUAAAUAAAGUUUUAUGGGAACACAGCCAUGCCCACUUAUUUCCACACUAUCAGUGUCCACUUUGGUACUACAGUGGCAGAGUUGAGUAGUUGCAGCAGAGACUUUAUGGCUCACAAAACCUAAAAUAUUCCCUGUCUGUCCCUUUACGGAAAAGCCUUGCCAACUCCUGUCCCAGACUACGGUCUCCAUGAGAGUGGGGACAGGGUCUGGUCAAGCUUGCUCGCCUCUCUUCAGCAUCUGGCACAGCGUCUGCUACGGAGAAGAUACACAAUGAAUAUUUGUUUUUGUUUUUUCUCAAUAAAUACAAGGAGAUUAUUUAAAUAUGUAUUUUACCAGACUGUUAAAAGGGUUAAAUAAGAUAAUAUACAUGAAGAACUCAGCAAUAUAAAGCCAGGAACAUAGCAGAUGAUUAAUAAGUAUUAGCAGUUUUUAUUAUUUCAGUUGUUCCUUAAUGCAUUUUGGUCUUCUCUCUGGGUCUAGACCUAAGCCGUUCCCUGGCCCUGGGCUGAGUCGCGUUCCUGUCCUGCCAUCCCUUGUCCUCUGGCCUUGACCUCCUGAGAAAGGCAUUUAUUUGCAUUUUGGGCUCCAAGAUUCCUUCCUUGGACUCAGAUUCUUGCAAUGACUUCUUGACCCCUCGUAGAGAUUUCCUUCUAGGAUGUUCAGUCCAUUUGAAGCGUAUUAUUCUCGCCCCUUGUUGUAGCCUUAGGGUGACACUCCUUUAACCUGUCCCUGGGGCUUAGCUUCACCAGGGUCAUCGAAAUGAUGGCAGUUCCAUCUUAUUUUGUGGCCACCUCCUCUGGGGACAGCAGGUAACUUCUUUCUUGUGGUUCCACAGGAGAAGCUGUAGGAUUGGAGGAGAGCUCCUCAUGAGAGAGCGGUGAGCAGAGGCUCAGGGAACUCAACCUGUGUGGCUUUAAAAGGGAGAGGAAGGAGGGAUCAAAGCCCAGCCCGAGGCUGGGCAGCCUGGAGGAGGGAGACUUGAGUAAAACCAGGGGUCAGCCAACUGUGACCGCUGGGCCAAAUCCAGCCUGCCUCCCAUUUUUCUGUGCCUCUCACAUUAAGAAUGGCUUUCACCUUUUUAAAUGGUUGGGGGGGGAAAAAUCAAAAGAGGGGCGCCGGCCCCAUGGCAUAGCGGUUGAGUUCGCACACUCCGUUUCGGCCACCCCUGGCUGGCCGGUUUGGAUCCUGGCGCGGACCUACGCACUGCUUGUCAAGCCAUGCUGUGGCAGGUGUCCCACAUACAAAGUCGAGGAAGAUGGGCACGGGUGUUAGCUCAGGGCCAAUCUUCCUCAAAAAAAGAAAAUCAUAAGAGGAAUAAUUUGUGACAUGUAAACAUUAUAUGAAAUUGGAAUUUGUGUUCAGAAAUAGACAGCAGCAGUUAAGUAGUUAGCAUCAGAGACAGUGCGGCCCAUAAAGGUGAAAAUACUUGCUGUCUAGCCCGUUAGAGGAAGUUUGCCAACCCCCGAGUUACACUACGAGCCUGAGCUGUGGCCGUGCCUUUGCCCUGAGCCCAUCAGAGCAUCUUCUGUGAUCAGUGUCGCAGGACCUCUACAAACCCCACCAGGUCGCAUCUCAGGGCACAGCCCAAGGUGCGCCGAGAGAGACAGGGUUAAUUAAAGGAAUCAUUUCUCAAGGAGGUGGAAAGGGAUGAGGUAAGAGAACCUCACAGUCUGGUUCAAAUGGUGGUCUCACCGCUUAGAGCAGUGGGACCUCGAGCUAGCCUCUUCACUUCUCUCAGCCACCGUUCCCGUAUUUUAAAAUCUGAAUACCUAUACUCUGAGAUAAAUCGUGGUGUUGUAAGGACUGAAUCAGCUAAUGCAUGCAACAAUGCCUGGCUGAGAGUAGGCACUCAAUAAAUAUUCACCACUAUGACUACGAUUGGAUGGAAUACACCAGCAGAAGAGUUGGCUGUAGAGAGGAGAAAGCCAUUUCACUAAGUGUAGCAUGUGGAAUCGAAUAAACAAACAAUAGACCCUGGAGACAGACAGACUGGGGUUCAGUUCUGUCUCUGCUAGUGAUCCCUGUAUGCAUCACUGCUGUGUGAUCUUAGUAAAGUUGAUUAACUUCUCUGAGCCUCAGUGUCACCCUCCCUUCCCUUAUGUAACUUAUAUGUCAACUGGGGACUUCCUACUCUUUGAUUUAGGAAACGUUUCCUUAUGGUACCACCUGUCGCCAUCUCACGUGAAACAUAUGGGGCUUCUGUUUUACUCUACGCCGACAAACCCAUUCAGAAAAUUCUCUUUCAGCAAGCAUUUCACGAGUUUACUCAGUUUAUUGGAGAAUUGAAGAGUUACAGUUUUGAGAGUGGGGGCAUACUGUGCCCUCCAAACCUCCUCUCUCCUGUUGCCUCUGCCUCUCUUCUUCCCGCGUGAGGGGCCCAGGACUCCCUCGCUUUCUCCACACACUUCCCCAUAUCCCUCUUUACAGCCCAGAGAGGCUGAGCCACACGUUUUCCCACCAGUGGUUCUGUCCCCAAGAGGAAUUCGCCUACCAGCUGCUAAAAGAAUAAAUUUCCUCUAUCCCCUGACAAGCAAAAUAGGGAUAACUGUGCCACCUCACAAGGUGUUUGUGGAAAUUAAGUGAGGUAAUGCAUCUGCCAGCUCCUGGCGUGUGGAAGACGGUCAAUAAAUGUUACUUCCGUCCCGUCUCGAUUCUUCCUUUGAGAUUUGAAGGAGCAAAGAGUGAAGCUGAGAGAGAUUCUGAGGUGGGGACAAGGGUAGAUAAAGCAGCCAGGAAGGUCAUCUCCUUGACCAUUGCCCUCCAGGAAAGUAGAAGAGAUUCUGUGCCAAGAGAAACUGGAAGAGGUGGAGGGGCCCAGGGCGGAAGCCAGACAAGUCUGGUUUAUCUUGGAGUCCAUCCAAAAGGGUUUAGUUACUGAAACAGCAGUUCCUCUGCAUAAAUCAUUCAGGUUCUUGAAAAAUAUUAUUAAAUCACUCCAGCGUCAUAAAUAAUCCUAAUUUUAUUAAUCUUACCUUUCAGGCCAAGGCGGAGCUCCCGCAAGGCUCCCUCUCCGGAGCGCCUCGCCGAGAGGGGAAGGUCCCCAGGUGGAGGGCAGUCCCUCAGCUGGGGCCUGAUGGUAUUAGGUGGCCUGCAGUUUAAACUGGCAUUCCCUGAGGUUUCCCAAAGCCUUUCAGAUUUAGACUCUUUUUAGUAAUCUUUCCUUGGGCGUAGGACUCAGAGCGGGAGGUUUAUUAGCAUGGUUCUGCGUGCGGAGGCAUGGGAAUUCGGGAAUUCCAUUGCUUGACUACUUGCGCUUGUCUGAUGUCCUGUUUGCAUUUGUACUCUUUUUCGUCUUUUUUUUUUAACCACAGAAUUCUUUUUUUUUAACUUUUUCCAAAAGGGCUGAUAGAUGGCUCUCUUCCAUUUUGCUGUGGGCCAAGGAUGUUUCUCCCCAAUGUUGUGAAAACAAAUGCCUGUGAUUAGUCAAUGCCAAAUUGCAGGCUAAUACCUCAGAGGCCCUUGCUGUCCUCCCCAACUGCCCCCACCGUAUUGCUCCCUCUUUUUUUCUAACGGAGGGAUUUCUCAUAGUUUUUCUUUCCAAAGUGAAGAUAAAUUGAAGAGUGGCAGCACCUGUUUCUGUUAUGUGGCAUUGAUUCGGGCUAAAAAAUCUAGUUUAGGAAACAUAGAUUUAGUUCCUGUUAUGUUAGUCCUCUAUGUGUCUUCUGAAAGAUUCUUCAUUAAAUGUUUUGGUUUUAUGACUUAAUGUUUUCCCCAAAUAUAAAAAUAAUUUGCAACACCGAAAAAUAUGAAGAAAUGUAAACAAAAACCAUGCAUAACAUCCUUCUAUCCUCAAGAACUCCACUGUUAAUGUCUUGGUGCAUUUUCCUGGAGUUUUGUUUUCUCUACAAAUGUGUGUAUGUAGUUACAAACGUGAUCCUGUGGAACACACAGUUUGAAGCCUGCUUUUCUACUUAGGUUUCUUUCAUGAGUGUUUCCUAGUCAAUAAAAAGGCUUCAUAAGCACCCGUCUUAGUGGCUGCAUAAUACUUGUAGUAUUGCAGUGCCCUAACCAGCUCAAUCAUUCUUAGGUUGUUCCGCAGCUGUGUGCAGUUUUUCACCAUCUAAAUGAUGCUGCCAUGAGCUUCUUUGCACCUUGUUCUUGCAUAUCUGAAAAUUCCCAUAGAAAGUAUUCCUAGAAGUAGGAUUACUGGCAAAAUAGAUUCCUGGAAGCUCACUUUAGUCUUUACUGACUUUAGUAAGCCGAGUGUGUUUCAUCUUGGAUCUGAUAAGUGUUUAGUAACUAAAAUAGCAAAAUGACUGGCUAAUUUUUGCCUGUACGGUGGUUUCGUGGUAUGGAGCUGGAGGACAAUAUAAUAUAAUGAUGUUGCAUUGUAAUUAUGAUUUGGUGAUAUGCCAAGGUGAUAAUAAUAAUAAUAAAAGCUAACAUUAUUGGGUGGUUAAUAUGUGCGAGGCCCUGUUUUAAGUGUUUUACAGCUAUGAACUGAUUUAAUCUCACUGCAACUCCAGGAGGUGGCUGUAUUAUUUUCCCCAUUUUACAGAUGGGAGAAUUGAGGGCCCAGAGGGGUGAAACUACAAGGUAAGUGAGUGAACCAGGAUUUAAACCCAAGCAUUUUGACCAGGAGCCCAUGCCCUAACCACUGAACGAGCCUGCCUGGAAAUAACCAAGUGGGUAAGAUUCCUCACCCCUGCACACUGAGACUGCCUGGCGGGUCUGCCUGCGCUGGAAGGCCGCCGGUGACUCCUCAGCUGGCUGCUGAGUUACGGCUCUCCUUUCCCCCUGGCCUUCUUCCUCCCUUCACUGGCUCUGUGCUGCCUGGCUGAGGGCAGGAGAGAAACCAAACUCCUGCAAAGUACCCAAUUCUGUAUCUGAAAGGAAAGAGGAAUAUAUAUCAGGGUGGCCUCAGGAAGCUGCUUAUUGGGAAAGAGAAGGGGGGAAAAAUUGAAACAAAACAGCUUUAGGGAUUUAAGUGUUUUGUUAUGUUUUUAUUUUUGCUUUUUGUUAGAGUGUUAGGCUUGCCUCAUUAGCAGUAAUAUUUCCCUUCCAUUUUCCCCCAAUUCCAUUUCCAUGGAUUCUCAGCUCAUCUGAUGGCGCAGGAGUUCCUGGAGACACGGAGACCGUGGAUUCUGAAGGAGGAGCACACGAACUCUGUGACUGCAGAGAGAAGGAAGAGGUGCUGAAAGACAGAAAUGAGGGCCAUGAAGACAGAGACUGAAGAAGAAGACAGAAGAUGAGAGGGAUGACACUGGAGCAAAGUAGCGAUUGGCUGCUGCGGGUUUUCUGAUUUAGUUCCUGUUCAACCCAUCGUGAGACCUAGCUGUGCCUCUUCUUCUGGCGCUCCGUUAGAUACUCUCCAAUCUUUAUACUGUAACCUUCUCCACUAUUUUGAUAAUGCUAACCUGAAGGGCUUCUGUUAUGUCCUGCUGCAGCUACAAUGGCUAUGUAACAAAUCACCCCAAAAUUUAGUGGUUUAAAAACAACACUUAUUUUGUUUACAAAUCUGCAGUCUGAGCAGGACUUGCUGUCAGCUUGUUUCUGCUCCAACUUGGUUUCAUGGGUGGCAAUUUGAAGAGCAGGGGCUAAAACUGAAUUCUUAUGUAUGCCGAGUACUUGGGCUGGAAGACUCAAGGAGAGGGGCCUGGAAGAGUUGGGCGGCAUGGAAGUCUCUCUGUUUCUCUGUGGUGUCUUCAUCAUGGUGGCUUCAAGGCAGAAGGGUUUUCACUGGGAGGCUCAAGGCUCCAUAGGCACAGGUCCCAAGGAGAAAGGGCCAGGUGGAAGCCAUAUCAUCUUUUAUGACCUAGCCUCAGAAAUCAUGCAGUGUUAUUUCCACCUCAUCCUAUUUGUGGGGGCCAGGUUCAACGGGACCCUACAUAUCAAUGAAGGAAUGUCACCAUCACAUUGUCUGAAGAACAUGUGGCCAGAAUGUUUACUAGUGUGGACAUCUUUAGAAAAUAGAAUCAGUCACACUUGUAAGCAAAAGGGCCUUUGUUAACACAUGGAAUAACCCCUAAAACUCAAAAAGGUAUUAGAGUUCCCAGAAAAUUAUCAACAUUGUGAUGGAAAAUGGGUUGGUUGGUGGGUACAAUGAGAAUUCUUUCUUUUUUUCCCUACUCUGAAUUAAUGAACAUUAAAUUUAUUCAUAGGUGUUCUCACUGGGUUCUGCUCAGUAAGCAGCAUUUUAAACACGACUUGUCUCCUUGAUUGCUAUCUUAUAUUUUAUUUUAUCAUAUAAUUAGGCACAGAUCAAGUUCAGUUCCCUUGUUGUGUAUAGCAAAAAGUUUCUGGUCAUUUUAUUUUAUUUUUUUUAUUUUUCUUUCCUGACGAAGAUUCACCCUGAGCUAAUGUCUGUUGUCAGUCUUCCUCUAUUUCGUAUGUGGGUCACUGCCACAGCAUGGCUGCCAGUGAGUGGUGUCGGUCCGCACUCAGAAAUGGAACCCAGGCUGCCAAAGCAGAGCACGCCAAACUUAACCACUUGGCCAUGGGGCUGGCCUCUCUGGUCAUCUUAAUUUUAAAUGUCAUUCGUAAGCAUAUCCUUUCUUGCUUGGUGAAUGAGAUUUUCCUUCCAACUGGACCCUUCUCAUGCUUUUAAUAAAUAAUGAUGCAGGUUUCCAGGGUCUAAAAUACUCCUGAGCUGUAAAGUAGGCACUGCCGAAAGAUGUAUUAACUCCUUCAGGCCUCCAAGGUGCUAUUUAAAAUGUUAUUGCUUCAUAUCCCAUAAUAGAAGCUUGAACCUUAUUGAUGGCCUUUCUCUUGAUGGCAGGGGCUGGGGGACUGUGAAGGCCAGGAGAGGAAGAGUUGGUGAACUGGAACAGGAAGCUGAAUUAACUCUUUCAGCAAGGCUUAGAAGAGAGGAUUUUAGUCUUAUAAACUCUAAAGCCCAAAAGAUACUGGAGCUUUCAGAAUAAAUCAGUAGCUAAGGUAGUGUUAUUAGAUGUAAUAAUUGCUGGAAGGAUGAAAUCCUUGUCAGUGCUGCCUGAAAAUAGUACAUUCUAUACUUACUCUAUGGCAAUGCUUCCAAUACUGUACUGAAGUGAACUAUUAAAAUAUGCACAUUCUGAUUACAUACAGAAAA